rnacentral:rRNA from 1 species
UACGGGGGGGGCAAGCGUUGUUCGGAAUUACUGGGCGUAAAGGGCUCGUAGGCGGCCAACUAAGUCGGAUGUGAAAUCCCCCAGGCUCAACCUGGGAACUGCAUCCGAUACUGGAUGGCUUGAAUUCGGGAGAGGGAUGCAGAAUUCCAGGUGUAGCGGUGAAAUGCGUAGAUAUCUGGAGGAAUACCGGUGGCGAAGGCGGCAUCCUGGACCGACAUUGACGCUGAGGAGCGAAAGCUAGGGGGAGCAAACGGG